GACGCUGCUGGUUGGGACUUACUUCGAUUGCAGAUCGAAGUCGGUGUUGCUGUUCGAGCCGGAAGCAACCUCG
rnacentral:tRNA from 1 species